CAGAGACUCCAACCCGCUACCGCUAAGUCAGCGGAGGUCCGCGGCUUCCUGGAAGACCCUCCCCUGUGCCGGGAGGGCGGUUUGGCCUCCUCGUCCCACCAGGACUCCACGGUCACACUCACGCCAGCACGCACAGCCUUCUCCGUGGAGCCAGCUGACAUCCAGCGUUCUCCGCCGACGGGAAGAGUCACACGUCACGGAUGGUUACAGCGCUCACUUCGGCGGAUGCUUUAAUCCCAUAUGUUUCCUCAAAACCGAGAUUCCAAUUGCUCUGGCUUCUUUCGUGCUAAAAGGAGACCAAAGUAAUUAGAGGUUGAACUGACUCACCACGGUUGCAGAAAAGCAUGACUGCUCAAUUUUUAAAAGGGAGGAAAAUAAACCAAACUGAGAUAAAAUAAGCAGACGUGAAAAUGUGAGAAAUGAGACAAGAGCUGAAAGAAAAAUAAAGAAAGUCUGAAUCGAGAGAAUGACUUCCAUCAUCAGUUGGUCAGAAAAGUGGUACUAUUAUAGGCACCUAAGGCACAUGAAUGAACAAAACGAAAACAGUUUCCUAGGACUGGCAUAACAAACUACUACAAACUGGGAGGCUUAAGACAACAGAAUUUAUUGUCUCACAGAUUUGGAGGCUAGAAGUCUGAAAUCAAGGUGUUGGCAGGGCCAUGCUUCUCUGAAGUCUGCAGUGAAGAAUCUGUUCCAUGCCUCUCUCCUGGAGUCUCGCGGCGGCUUGCCAGGCAUCCAUGGUGUUCUCCAUCUCAGUCAUCACAUGACGUUGUUCCCUCUGUCCGUCUGCAUGUGUCUAAAUCUCCCCUUCUCUUAAGGGCACUGGUCAUAUUGGAUUAAGGUGCAUUCUCAUCCAGUUUGUCCUCAUCUUAACUAAUGACAUCUUCCAAGACCCUAUUUCCAAAUAAUGUUACAGUCACGGGACUGGGAGUUAGGCCUUGAACGUGUCUUUUCAUGGGACACAGUUCAACCCAUAACAAGGAACAAAAUUGUACAUGGAGAUGAAGUUUUAAAAUAUUGUUAGGAUUCUGAAACUCUGUUGUGAACUAAUUUAUUUGCUUGCUACCAUUGCUAUCAUAAUUCUUGGCUAAACAACUAUGAUAAUGCCUAGAUUUUGAAAACUUCAGUUAGAGUUUGGCUGCUUAUCCUUUAUUGUGCCAAAUGAUCUGAAAGGUAGGGAGAACUGGGGCAGCUGAGAGGAGGUUAACUUGACCUUUGUGCAACAGAGGGACAGACUCGGUUAUGUGGAGGAUAUAGGGGAAGAAAGUGUCAUCCAAGUGAGGAAGGAUCUAUGUGAAGGGAGAUGUUGGAAUGUCUCCAGAAGGUGGAAC